rnacentral:ncRNA from 1 species
GAGAGCCGUAUGCGGGAAAACUGCACGUACGGUUCGAUGAGGGGGCGGGCGUACCCUAC